CCGCCACCAAAGUUCGAGCCGCUCCUCCCCAGCCCAGCGCGCGCCCCGCCCCGUGCCCCACGUGCAGCGCCCCCACCAAUGGGCGCACCGCGCGCGCGGACCCGGAUCAGGAAACGCGCGGAGCGAGAGUCCCCCAGACUGUUCUCUAUCUGAUGCAUGUCUCUAGAGCUGAACAGUGGAAUGGCAGAAUUUCAAAACGCCUGAUGGUGGCAUUUGAAGGCUUCCCCACCACCUACACUAGACACAAGAUUUGAGAGGAACAACACUUUACCAGCCAUUUGACCAAUUAAUUCUUUGGGGAUAAUUUUCUUGUAGUAGUUUAAAAUAAUGCACACAACGCAGGGAUGAGGACUGAUAUUCAUAUUGGGAUUACACAUGAAUUUUAACUGGGAUUGUUUGAGAGGCCUGAGGUUCAAAAUCCUCCAGAUAAAGCAAGCACACUAAAAGCAAUAAAUUCUGCAAGUACUCUUUUCUUUUACUUUGAAGACUAGCUAAGAGGUAUCUAUGGUUUUUGAAGCUGACAUGUCUAUAAGGUGUGUCACAUGUUUUUAACCAAAAAGCACAAUAAAAAGGUUUUUCCCAAAGAGACACGUAAUUGUCUUGUUGACUCAUCGAGGGGUUUCAGUUUUCCUCAUUUCACUAGCCCAAAUGUGGUGAAAUGUUCACUGCUGCAACAGCAAUCACCACAGUUGUUUCCUUUCUUCUGUUUCAUCUGGCAAACCCCCAUUUGGCUUCAAGCUCUUGGCCAGAGUGAAAACUUUACACAUUGCACAGAAGCACCCUGAUUACUUCCAUGAAGGCAGUGUUUGGAAAAUAUUUACUUUACCACUGAACAUACCUGGCACCAUUAAAUCCAAUCAACCAAAAUAUUGGGAUGAUCUUAAACAUUCCUGCAAGAGUCCACAUUCUGAGUAGAUGAAUUAUUUCCAAAGUUAAAAAAGAAAAACCUAGGGAAAAUAUUUCACUUUUCUCUUCUCUGUUUUCCUAUACUGAUCCCUUGAAGGUCAAUUCAUAGAAAAGGGAAAUAUGUCCUCUGGAAAAUAGAUUCUUACAGCACCAACACUUAAAGCCAUUCUAGAUGCAUGAAAAAUAAAAUAUUGUUUAGCUCUUCAGUUGCAACUCACACAUGAGGCAUGGUUCUAGUCGGCUUCCUUAAUACACUAUUCUCUUUCUUUUCUGCUCUCCCACCCUUCUUCUUAGGUUGCUUUAUCUUCUCCUUGGCUUUUUUUUUUAAUUCCACGUGUAUCAUUAAAAAGUACAUUCUGAAGAAUAGAAAAUAUUCUAUUCUGUCCUGGUGGUCUUACAGAGUAGCCUGUUAUUUGUGGAUUUCACCUUUCUGCAUUCCCUACAGUCUAGUUAUUCACUUAUAGCUUGUAGCAUUUCUCUUACAUUCAAUUGUGGUUUAAUAAUAAACAUUAAAAAAAUUUCCAAACAGGAACAUUUUCAUGGCACCAGUAAGCAUUUUGUCACUGGCAGUGGUGGUGGAAGGGGUGAAGGGAGAAUUCUGUGUCUUUCAGGAGGGUUUCCACUUCCUUCCUUCCCCUUCUCAGAUCUCAGAACGCUUUGCAUUCAGCGGACUGUAGUUUCAGAAAAAGCAUAUUCUGUGUUUGAAAACUGCAAAGAUUAUAUUUUGCAAGAAGUGUCUGUGUUUGCAUUUAUUCUUACACACUUUAGGGGUCAUCAUGUGUACUAAAAAGACAAAAAACCGGCCAAUCAGAAUCCCUCUUUUCAAAUAAAGGAGGUUUCCUGCACCAUUCUGUUGCCUUUGAAGGCAUAAUGAAAUAUUGGAAACUUGUGACAUUAGUUUUUAAAGCUCCACAGAUGAGUUUUUAGCAUUUUUAUUUUGUGACAAACCCACAGACUCCUGGUUCUCCAACACCUAAGGUGUUGAUGUUUCAGUAAUCUAUGCCUAUUUACCUGCUGCUAUUCCCUCAGAAUGGGAGCGAUAAUUCAAGAUGAGAUACAGCAUGUAUUACUCUUGAAAAGAGGAAUUUUCUAUCCUUUCCUCCGUAAUUGAGGUCAUUCAACCACUAGGGUUCACCUGGAGUCCAUACCGUGAUACACGCGUCACUCUGAGCCAUUUUAUCUUUUGUGCUGAUAGUCAAGAUCACAGCUCUAACAUUGACAUCAAACUCUGUCUGGGCAGAUGACUAAGAGCACUGCACAAUGUAAACUUUUGACCCUCAACUUUUUGACCUGCAGUUGUAACGCACUAACCGCAAAGAUACACAAAGCCGAGCCUCUUCUUUCAGGGGGAAGGGGCCCCCCAGCAUCUCAGGAUGCCCUGCUUCUGCCACUGCCAUUUGAAAUUAGAGGGUGAAAUGGAUAUUUUUGUGUGUUUGUGACUGUACUUUUUGUUAAAUCAGCCUAUGACCUCUUCGUUAGCACCUAGGAACUAGAUUAACUUGAAAUCACUCGUGAUUCUAUUUUACAAGGAAAAUUUGGAGCAGAAUGGGAGAACCUUGCAAAAAGUGAAAGAAAAGAGAAGAUGGGGGAAAGCAGGCAAUGGGAGGUGGAGACACUUUUUCCCUUUAUUUAAAACUAAAGACGCAGCCCUAAUUGUUGGGAGAGCUGGCCCAAGCGGGUGAAUUGACUGUGAACUUGUACUAAAGCGUGCUCUGCUGGCGAUUCCUAGGGUGUGCAGAUUUAUCUUCUCUGCAUUUACUUAACCCGGCAGUGAACUGCGCGGGCGUCAUUUGUUAGGCGAUGACAGACUUCACCUCCAGCAAGGGCUGCUUCACAAAAUCGCAAUAAUUAUCUAAUAACCUUCAUAACAAAUAUUAUUAUUGAAAAGACUGGUUUGUGGGGAGGGGACCUGGUGGGAGAACAAAUUUAUUUGUGAACAACAACAAACAAAACAAACCUGGGCAGACCUUCAAGUUCUGGGGCUUAGAAUGGCUGGGGCUGUGGAUCCCCUCCCCUACUUGGGUGGGAGCUUAGGCUGACCCCCUCAGCCCUGCCUGGGAGCCCCGUUUAUAGUUUUGCCAUUGACUAGAAGGAAACUCCUCCUCAGAAACCAAAGGGAGGGAGCCCACAAUGCUCUGCACUCUCCAUGGUGGGCAAGCCAUGGACAGACCCCCAGCCAAGGCAGGGGGGAGGCUGAGAAGGGCAUCUUUUAAGCUAAAAGGAUUGUUUUCCUCUUUAAUUGCCUAUCUUUUAAGAUGUGAUUUGCUUUCCACUCACUAAUUAUUUCGAUAUAAUACUCUCAGAAUCUCAACAAAUGAACAGGACUCUGUUUUUUGGUGGGAAAUUCUGUCUUGCUCUCUCAGAGCCGCCAACAAUGAAGCAGGGGAAAGAGCAGGAGAAAGGGAAUCUUGGCAUAAUGUUGUGAAAUUAGACCAUGGAAACCCUAACAAACCACUAAGUAAGUGUGACCAGAAGCUUCCUGUUGUAUUUAUAGUUCAGAAAUAUUGUCUCUUCAGCUUGUGGGAACAAACGAGCCCCCGCACAUUGCCGCUGAGGAGGAGCACAGACACGCACUUCUGCCACCGGCUGAGGCUGGAUGUCUUCAUAAAGCCCUCAGUGACAGACAUAUUUUUUCUUAGUAAGUUCCUCUGCAAGAACAACCCAAAAGAAUCCACAAAAGAAAUAACUUAUCUACAGAAUGAGCAGAAAACCAGCCAUCCUCUUUAUUAUGCUUCCUAUGAAAAUAGGAAGAAAGAAAAAAAUCUUCCAGUAACACAUAGGUCUGACUGCAUGAUGUAUUUUUAAAGUCAUUUUAAUUCCAUGUGGCCAUGUGGGUUUGCCUGCUCUCUUAAAUUCUACUUAAGUUUUGUGAAGAUUAAAACAGACAGAAAUAAGCAAGCUGACAAUAUUUACAGCCUGUAAUUUUUCUCAUUCCUUGGAAAGAUUCUCUAUGUUCUGUGGUACUGGAUAUGACUUCAACAGGCUUUCUGCUCAUUCCCACACCCCAGGGUGGAAUAUGGCCAUGAAGUAGUGUGGAUAUUUUCUGUGUAAGUAACUCAAAUUAAACUGGCAGAAUCCCCGUCACUCUUUUUUUUUUCUAAUUUCAAUCACCAAGAAAUCACUCAAGCAAGAUCACCAAAUCAGUAACUAAAAUGGAACCAUAACGCAAUAUUUUCCAAUAAGGAGCCCAAAAUUCAGAGCAGCAAAACAAGGAAUCCAGUAUUCUCACAGACACAUAACAUUAUAAAAGAGAACCCAUACCCAUGUAGAGUUUAUAUCCUUGUUCCCACUAAGAUGUGGACACAUCUUCUUGAAUGCUGAAAUACCAAUGUUUACUUUAAUAGGUUACACACAAUGACUUCAGGAUUCUUCACCUUGCCACUAUUCAUGAGAAGUAGCACUUGUGGGAGGGUUUUGAUUUUUCAAAAAAACUUUCUAGGUUUUGCUUUCUGGACCUCUGACUUUAGGGACAUCUGUUGGACUUAUGUUGAGUGUAGGUGGCCUCUGCACAAUAAGUUUAUUGAAAUUCCAAAUCUAUACUUUCAAUUUUUUCACUUUAAGCACUUAAUAGGUAUCUUUACCAAUUAAUACUUGCUGAAAACUGCCCAGCUCCUAAGGAGAAAAGCAGAUCCUAUUUUUUGUUUCAUUUCUGAAUGCAGUAGGAGAAUUUGGCUUAAUUCCUAAAAUAGGAUUGGAGGAAAUCUACUGGGUCCCUUGUGGGUACCCAUCCAGAAAAAGAUCCCAGGACAGGCCACAGUCCCCAGUCACUGGGCUUGGGUUUUGCCAUUGAAGAAUAUGGGGGGUUGGGGCCAGAAGGGGUGACUGGGGCCAAUAUGGAAUUGUGCCCAGGAUAAACUUAUUUCACCUUACUUCACCCAUUGGUGCAAUUUUGGAGACUGUUCUGGAAAUCAUAGAUUAUGUAAAUUUCCUGGGAUCAAACAGAAAGAGCAACUAACAAAAGAAAGGCGGAAAUCUCCUACUGACAAAGGACCAAUUUCUUCCCUAAACUACCGUUUAUGAUGUGUCAGGAAAAACAACCUAAUGGCUCUGGGGACUUUUAAGUUGGGCACUGAAGACACCUCAAUUUCCCCCAAAACUUUAGAGCACAGUUUGGAACAGAGAAUUCGCCUGUAUGUUGAGGGGGAGUGAAUUUCUCCAAUCUUAAUGUUAUCCAGGGGGCCGCCUAAGUUGCCUUCUGAGGGUCCUGUGCGUAGAUGUUUUUAAUUCUACAAAGAAGGAGAGGAACAGGAAAGAAGAGAGGGAGAAGAAAGGCAAAGCGGAAGAAAAGAAAGCGCUUUAACCCCUUUCAAUUAGCCUGGGGAUUCAAAGACUAAAGUUAAAUCCGGCCAUAAAGUUUAUUGCUUCAGACUCACAAGCGGCUGAGAACAGUCCCGCCGAAAUAAAAAGAACAUGCAGGCAAACAGGGUUCAGGGCCUGGUCCCGGGUGCGGGGGAGGGGGUCCUGAACACCCCCCCACACCAGGGUGGGGAUCCUUGGUCCUCAGGGUCCAGUGGGCGCUAGCAGCCCAGGAUCCACCUUGCAACCCGGGGGCCCAGCCUGGAGGUGCAGCCCCAGCCUCGCCGGCCUCUGCCACCCUCCCGCUCUCGCGAGCUAGCCUGAAACCCGGCCCCGAAGGCCGCCGCCUCAAUUCAGCCCUGCCAAAUGACCCCGGCCCGCGAAGACAUAUUGCCACAGCCCCGUAAGGAAUCCCGCCAGAG
rnacentral:lncRNA from 10 species